rnacentral:rRNA from 1 species
UACGUAGGUGGCAAGCGUUGUCCGGAUUUAUUGGGUUUAAAGGGUGCGUAGGCGGCUUUUUAAGUCAGUGGUGCAAGCCGAUCGCUUAACGAUCGAACUGCCAUUGAUACUGAGAGGCUUGAGUAUAGUUGAGGUAGGCGGAAUUGACAGUGUAGCGGUGAAAUGCAUAGAUAUUGUCAAGAACACCAAUUGCGAAGGCAGCUUACUAAAGUAUAACUGACGCUCAUGCACGAAAGCGUGGGGAGCAAACAGG